rnacentral:rRNA from 3 species
AUUGCCUCAGUAACGGCGAGUGAAGCGGCAACAGCUCAAAUUUGAAAUCUGGCCCCAGGCCCGAGUUGUAAUUUGCAGAGGAUGCUUUUGGCGAGGUGCCUUCCGAGUUCCCUGGAACGGGACGCCAUAGAGGGUGAGAGCCCCGUCUGGUCGGACACCGAGCCUCUGUAAAGCUCCUUCGACGAGUCGAGUAGUUUGGGAAUGCUGCUCUAAAUGGGAGGUAUAUGUCUUCUAAAGCUAAAUACCGGCCAGAGACCGAUAGCGCACAAGUAGAGUGAUCGAAAGAUGAAAAGCACUUUGGAAAGAGAGUUAAAUAGCACGUGAAAUUGUUGAAAGGGAAGCGUUUACGACCAGACUUGGGCCGGUUGAUCAUCCAGCGUUCUCGCUGGUGCACUCUGCCGGCCCAGGCCAGCAUCAGUUCGCCCCGGGGGAUAAAGGCGGCGGGAAUGUGGCUCCUCGGAGUGUUAUAGCCCGCCGUGCAAUACCCUGAGGUGGACUGAGGUUCGCGCUCUGCAAGGAUGCUGGCGUAAUGGUCGUCAACGACCCGUCUUGAAACACGGACCAAGGAGUCGUCUUCGUAUGCGAGUGUUCGGGUGUAAAACCCCUACGCGUAAUGAAAGUGAACGCAGGUGAGAGCUUCGGCGCAUCAUCGACCGAUCCUGAUGUUCUCGGAUGGAUUUGAGUAAGAGCAUACGGGGCCGGACCCGAAAGAAGGUGAACUAUGCCUGUAUAGGGUGAAGCCAGAGGAAACUCUGGUGGAGGCUCGCAGCGGUUCUGACGUGCAAAUCGAUCGUCAAAUAUGGGCAUGGGGGCGAAAGACUAAU